GACGAACGCUGGCGGCGUGCUUAACACAUGCAAGUCGAACGGAAAGGCCCUGCUUUUGUGGGGUGCUCGAGUGGCGAACGGGUGAGUAACACGUGAGUAACCUGCCCUUGACUUUGGGAUAACUUCAGGAAACUGGGGCUAAUACCGGAUAGGAGCUCCUGCUGCAUGGUGGGGGUUGGAAAGUUUCGGCGGUUGGGGAUGGACUCGCGGCUUAUCAGCUUGUUGGUGGGGUAGUGGCUUACCAAGGCUUUGACGGGUAGCCGGCCUGAGAGGGUGACCGGCCACAUUGGGACUGGAAUACGGCCCAGACUCCUACGGGAGGCAGAAGUGGGGAAUAUUGCACAAUGGGCGGAAGCCAGAUGCAGCAACGCCGCGUGCGGGAUGACGGCCUUCGGGUUGUAAACCGCUUUCGCCUGUGACGAAGCGUGAGUGACGGUAAUGGGUAAAGAAGCACCGGCUAACUACGUG
rnacentral:rRNA from 1 species